UACAGAGGGGGCAAGCGUUAUUCGGAAUUAUUGGGCGUAAAGGGCGCGUAGGCGGUUUUUUAAGCCAGAUGUGUAAUCCCCGAGCUCAACUUGGGAACUGCAUCUGAGACUGGAAGGCUAGAGUACUGGAGAGGGUGGUGGAAUUCCUCGUGUAGCGGUGAAAUGCGUAGAUAUGCGGAGGAACACCGAUGGCGAAGGCAAUCCCCUGGGCCUGCACUGACGCUCAUGCACGAAAGCGUGGGGAGCAAACAGGAUUAGAAACCCCUGUAGU
rnacentral:rRNA from 1 species